ensembl:lncRNA
ACACAGCAACGGACACCAUUAGCACAAUCUCCAGAUACAGAUAGCAGCUGUCUCAGGACAAAUGUCAUUUACAGCCAUAUCCUGAAGGACCAUAUCCAGGAAAGCCGUGCCCUCACCGGAUUUUCCUCUUGAGCCGGUGACACGGGCUAGGACUGUCCUUGGGGAAGAUGAGGCCAAAUUGUGCAGGAGCCCUGAGGAUGCCCAUCUGGGUUUGGGAAGGGCUUCACAUCCCAGUUCUUACUGCCUCAUCGUGGUGCACCUGGAUGGGGAAAAUAAGGGACAAAAGGACUCAGAGAAUGAUAGGAUGGCUUGGGUUGGAGGGGACCUUAAAGAUCAUUUUACUCCAACCCCCUGCCGUGGGCAGGGACACCUCCCACCAGCCCAGGUUGCCCAAAGCCCCAUCCAGCCUGGCCUUGAGCACCUCCAGGGAUGGGGCAUCCACAGCUUCUCUGGGCAGCCUGUGCCAGGGCCUCACCACCCUCUGAGUGAAGAAUUUCUUCCUAACCUCUAAUAUAAUUUAUCUAUCCUCUUUUAGUUUAAGACCAUUCCCCCUUGUCCUAUUAUAUCUACCCAAGUAGAGAGUCCCUCUCCCUUAUUUUUAUAAGCCCCCUUCAGGUACUGAAAGGCCGCAGUGAGGUCUCCCUGGAGCCUUCUCUUCUGUAGGCCGAACUACCCCAGCUCCCUCAGCCUGUCUCCACAGAAGAGGUGCUCCAGCCCCUUGAUCAUCUUUGUAGCACUCCUUUGGACCUGCUCUAACAGAUCCAUGACUUUCUUGUGCUGGGGGCCCAGACCUGGACGCAGGGCUCCAGGUGGGGCCUCACAAGGGCAGAGCAGAGGGGGACAAUCCCCUCCCUCCCCUGCUGCCCACCCCUCUGGUGACGCAGUUGGCCUUCUGGGCUGCAAGCACACACUGCUGGCUCAUGUCGAGCCUUUCACCCACCAAAACCCCCAAGUCCUUCCCCGCAGGGCUGCUCUCCACCAGUUCUUCUCCCGGCCUGUACUCCAGGACUGGAUUUACCACACGCAGCCUCCCCUAAGGCAGCCGAGCGAGGGAUGUAAUUCACUGAAGUGCCUUCUCUCAGCAGGAGAGACCUUCCUGACUGCUGCUAACGAAAUUGCAGGAAACAAUAUUUUCCUGCUCAGCCCUGGCAAGCGAACAGCACAGAAGGGACGUUUUUGGCAGCGUUCCUCUGAGAGAGCAGAAGAUAACGCAAUGACUGGGCGAAGGCAAGUGGGAAGCAAAGAGAAGGAGGCCACGACAGUAAGGAUCUCUGCAGCUUUUCUUCCCAAUGGGAGAGAGCAACCAGAAAACAGCGACGGGGUUAAAGAGCAGAGCUCAAAGAAGAGAAAGGUUGGGAAGCAACCACUCAUAGAGUACUCGGAGGACAAACCUGUUCUAGGAAGCCACUUCCAAAUACUCUAGAAUGAGAGUUAAAAAGAGGACCAGUGUGUAGAAAAGCUGGGGGAUGCUCACCUUCCAACACACAUCGGGUUGCGGAGAUGGAUGGAGGAUAUUCCCGUCUGGGGA